rnacentral:rRNA from 1 species
UGGGGGAUAUUGCACAAUGGGGGGAACCCUGAUGCAGCGACGCCGCGUGGGUGAAGAAGCGCCUCGGCGCGUAAAGCCCUGUCAGCAGGGAAGAAAAUGACGGUACCUGAAGAAGAAGCCCCGGCUAAACUACGUGCC